rnacentral:rRNA from 1 species
AUUGAACGCUGGCGGCAAGCCUUACACAUGCAAGUCGAACGGCAGCACGGGAGUAAUCCUGGUGGCGAGUGGCGAACGGGUGAGUAAUAUAUCGGAACGUGCCCAGUCGUGGGGGAUAACGCAGCGAAAGCUGUGCUAAUACCGCAUACGAUCUAAGGAUGAAAGCGGGGGAUCGCAAGACCUCGCGCGAUUGGAGCGGCCGAUAUCAGAUUAGCUAGUUGGUGGGGUAAAGGCCCACCAAGGCGACGAUCUGUAGCUGGUCUGAGAGGACGACCAGCCACACUGGAACUGAGACACGGUCCAGACUCCUACGGGAGGCAGCAGUGGGGAAUUUUGGACAAUGGGCGCAAGCCUGAUCCAGCAAUGCCGCGUGCAGGAUGAAGGCCUUCGGGUUGUAAACUGCUUUUGUACGGAACGAAACGGCCCUUUCUAAUACAGUUUGCUAAUGACGGUACCGUAAGAAUAAGCACCGGCUAACUACGUGCCAGCCGCCGCAGUAA